rnacentral:rRNA from 1 species
UGCGCAGGCGGUUAUAUAAGACAGAUGUGAAAUCCCCGGGCUCAACCUGGGACCUGCAUUUGUGACUGUAUAGCUAGAGUACGGUAGAGGGGGAUGGAAUUCCGCGUGUAGCAGUGAAAUGCGUAGAUAUGCGGAGGAACACCGAUGGCGAAGGCAAUCCCCUGGACCUGUACUGACGCUCAUGCACGAAAGCGUGGGGAGCAAACAGGAUUAGAUACCCUGGUAGUCCACGCCCUAAACGAUGUCAACUGGUUGUUGGGUCUUCACUCGACUCAGUAACGAAGCUAACGCGUGAAGUUGACCGCCUGGGGAGUACGGCCGCAAGGUUGAA